AUGGAAUGCUUUGAAAGCAAAUUUUUAGAAAUAAAGUCUCACGUUUUUGCAUUGUAAAUAAAAUAAAGACUUGAUCAUUAGAAAAGUGCAAAUUUCGAUAUUUCACUUGCUUAUUCAAUUCCAUUAAUGAUUAUGAAAAAAAUAAUGUUUUGAUAAUUUUGGUUAUUUACCACGCCAUAUUCGAUUUUUUGUAAGCAUUCAUGAACUCUUAUUUAUUGAACCCAAUCUCUCGGAUUAGUAUGAUGAAUUGGUAAAUAGUGGAUCAAUUUACUAAUUCAUCAUGCUAUUUUUCCUAAUGUCUUGAGAAGGUUAAUGUUUUUUUAAUUUCUAACACAAGUUAUGAACUUCUACCGAUGAACCAAAAUAUUUCAUACAAAAUGGAGCUUAAACAAUAAGUAUUAACAGUUAGGUUCGAACAAGUUUUGAUUUUUGCUAAUGUCAUAGUAAAUAUGUAAAGCAGUAGAGGUUUGGAAAACAAAGGCUGAUAAGAGGUUAUUGCCAUAUUGAUUUGUUUGUUUCGGCUAUAAUUGAAAAUAUUUGCUUUAUCCGUUAUUAACAGGUUUAUCUAUAGCUAGAUUGAUUACUGAACGAUGAUUAAAUUAUAUGCCUUGAGAGUGACUUUGAGUAUUAUUGGCAGUGUUUCUCUCUUUGCCAUAAGAGUUUUUUGUCGUCCAAAUAGCUUGAAACUUAGUUGUAAACAGUUUGAUUGGCAAAGAUGUGACGCCAACUUUCAGUUUAUCAGAUUUUAGAUAACACCCCAUGACGAAGAGAACAAAGCUGUCGAAAAUAAACUGAGUUUUGUAGCAUUUUGUACUAAAGGCACUAGAAAAUCGCAUAUGCGUUAGUGGAAAUUAAAGAUGUGAUAUAAAACAUGAUGAACCAAUGUUAAAUAUUAAACAUUAUUCCUAAAUAAUCUAAUGAAAAUUUACGAUGCGCAACAUGUGCUUGAAAAUGUUUAUUUGGCAGCGCUUUCUUGUUUCCUUCAUUCCACCAUUCCAUCAAUUAUUUCUUUCUCAAGGAUUAUUGAUGAAAUCACGAGGAUCAAACCAAGUAUCAAUCCAAUAUCUUUCACGAGAGAUAGAUCAAGCCGAGGCUCGAGCAGAGAGAAAAUCUCCCGGCAGUAUGAGAGAAGUUAAUGCAUAAAGAGAAAAAAAAAACAAGUGUCCGUGCAUGCUUAUCAUACGUGCACAGCUAGCAAAGCAAAGCCUUUUAUUGAAUCAAUGCGUCGUCGGUGGGUGUGCGGUUGAUUUUCAGUC